AUUGAACGCUGGCGGCAGGCCUAACACAUGCAAGUCGAGCGGAUGAAGAGAGCUUGCUCUCUGAUUUAGCGGCGGACGGGUGAGUAAUGCCUAGGAAUCUGCCUGGUGGUGGGGGAUAACGUUCCGAAAGGAACGCUAAUACCGCAUACGUCCUACGGGAGAAAGCAGGGGACCUUCGGGCCUUGCGCUAUCAGAUGAGCCUAGGUCGGAUUAGCUAGUUGGUGAGGUAAUGGCUCACCAAGGCGACGAUCCGUAACUGGUCUGAGAGGAUGAUCAGACACACUGGAACUGAGACACGGUCCAGACUCCUACGGGAGGCAGCAGUGGGGAAUAUUGGACAAUGGGCGAAAGCCUGAUCCAGCCAUGCCGCGUGUGAAGAAGGUCUUCGGAUCGUAAAGCACUUUAAGUUGGGAGGAAGGGCAGUAAGUUAAUACCUUGCUGUUUUGACGUUACCGACAGAAUAAGCACCGGCUAACUUCGUGCCAGCCGCCGCAGUAAGAC
rnacentral:rRNA from 1 species